CACUGCCACGUGUUUUUUAGCAACUAAAUACAUGUUCGGAAGUUGUUUUUGAGUCGUAAAUAAGUGAGUAAUACUUAUAAAUUCCACGAAUUAUGUAGAUAAAAGUGAUUUGGUCAAUUAUAAAUAGUAGCCAAACAAGGACUAGAGCUUUUUAAAGAGAAAAGAUCUCGAUUCAAGUGUCCGCCCCUUUGAAAAAUUGUGAAGAGAGCAGCAAAGUUAUUUGUCUUGCCCCGAUUUCCCGUAACAAAUAACAAUAAAAUGGAACUCUAGAAAAAAUUGUGGCUCACCUACCAGCUAACACAAUACAUAAAUUCCUGUACAUUUCCUCUACCUCUCUAUAAAUAGAACUAAACUUUUUCACUCAACCACAAAACCAUUGACUCUUUCUUCAUACCUUUUGAGCUAAUUCCACAAGUUUUAGAUAGAAAAAAAAAAUGCAGGCAUCUAAAGUUGCAGUGUUUUCAAUGGUACUUGUGCUUCUGGUCUGUGGAGCACAAUUUUCAGAGAGUGCAACGUGCACCCCAACUGCACUCAGCCCUUGCAUGUCUGCCAUCUCGUCAGGAACUCCCCCGUCGAAACUGUGCUGCAGUAAGAUCAAGGAGCAGCAGCCUUGCCUUUGCCAGUAUCUCAAGGAUCCCAAUUUAAGGAAGUUUGUUAACUCUCCAAAUGCAAAGAAAAUUGCUUCCACUUGUGGGGUUCCUCAGCCCAAAUGUAAAUGAUUUUCAAGGCCCUUAUUUCCAAUUUCCAUAAAGAGUGAGUAAAUGAGAAUAACGGUGCAACUUUUGUUUGUCUACCUAACUAGCUGCACUAUCGAAUAAGUCUAGGUAUUGACUGGUUCAGUCUUACUGAACUGGGGUGCUCAAGAUUUGUACUGAAUGUACUAAUAUUUCUAUUAUAAUCGAGACAAAUUGAAAUGGGAUUUUCUAUUUGUAAAUGGGAUUUUCUAUUUGUUCUUUCUAUAUUUUCUCAACCUUACAAUUCAUUGGAGAAUGUAAUAAUUGAUGAUACCAAAAAUAGACAAGCAAUAUUAACCUCCCACGGUUAAUUACUCACAUAAUCUUCUCCAUAAUCAGGUGAUUAUUAAAUACACUUAUGCUUGGUCGGACAAUGUCCAAAUUAAAUCUAUCCAGCAAAGAUAAUGGAG
rnacentral:lncRNA from 1 species